AUUGAACGCUGGCGGCAUGCUUUACACAUGCAAGUCGAACGGCAGCACGGGGGCAACCCUGGUGGCGAGUGGCGAACGGGUGAGUAAUAUAUCGGAACGUACCCGGAAAUGGGGGAUAACGUAGCGAAAGUUACGCUAAAUACCGCAUAUGCCCUAAGGGGAAAGCGGGGAUUCGCAAGAACCUCGCGUUUUCGGAGCGGCCGAUAUCGGAUUAGCUAGUAGGUGAGGUAAAGGCUCACCUAGGCGACGAUCCGUAGCUGGUCUGAGAGGACGACCAGCCACACUGGAACUGAGACACGGUCCAGACUCCUACGGAGGCAGCAGUGGGGAAUUUUUGGGACAAUGGGCGCAAGCCUGAUCCAGCCAUGCCGCGUGAGUGAAGAA
rnacentral:rRNA from 1 species